rnacentral:rRNA from 1 species
UACGAAGGGUGCAAGCGUUACUCGGAAUUACUGGGCGUAAAGCGUGCGUAGGUGGUUUGUUAAGUCUGAUGUGAAGGCCCUGGGCUCAACCUGGGAACGGCAUUGGAAACUGGCUUACUAGAGUGCGGUAGAGGGGUGUGGAAUUCCCGGUGUAGCAGUGAAAUGCGUAGAUAUCGGGAGGAACAUCUGUGGCGAAGGCGACACCUUGGACCAGCACUGACACUGAGGCACGAAAGCGUGGGGAGCAAACAGG